AGUCAGGGCUGGGGAGCAGCAGUAACAGCAGCUGCUGGUUCUGCCUCUGCGACUGCAUCUCCACUCCUCUGUUGCU
ensembl:miRNA gga-mir-1780 gga-mir-1780